UACGUAGGGUGCAAGCGUUGUCCGGAAUUAUUGGGCGUAAAGAGCUUGUAGGCGGUUUGUCGCGUCUGCUGUGAAAUUUCGGGGCUCAACCCCGAACUUGCAGUGGGUACGGGCAGACUAGAGUGUGGUAGGGGAGACUGGAAUUCCUGGUGUAGCGGUGAAAUGCGCAGAUAUCAGGAGGAACACCGAUGGCGAAGGCAGCUCGCUGGGACGGUACUGACGCUGAGACGCGAAAGCGUGGGGAGCAAACAGG
rnacentral:rRNA from 1 species